rnacentral:tRNA from 1 species
AGCUCAGUUGGUAGAGCACUUGUCUUGCAUGCACAAGGCCCUGGGUUCAAUCCCCAG